rnacentral:rRNA from 1 species
AUUGAACGCUGGCGGCAGGCCUAACACAUGCAAGUCGAGCGGAUGAAGGGAGCUUGCUCCUGGAUUCAGCGGCGGACGGGUGAGUAAUGCCUAGGAAUCUGCCUGGUAGUGGGGGAUAACGUCCGGAAACGGGCGCUAAUACCGCGUACGUCCUGAGGGAGAAAGUGGGGGAUCUUCGGACCUCACGCUAUCAGAUGAGCCUAGGUCGGAUUAGCUAGUUGGUGGGGUAAAGGCCUACCAAGGCGACGAUCCGUAACUGGUCUGAGAGGAUGAUCAGUCACACUGGAACUGAGACACGGUCCAGACUCCUACGGGAGGCAGCAGUGGGGAAUAUUGGACAAUGGGCGAAAGCCUGAUCCAGCCAUGCCGCGUGUGUGAAGAAGGUCUUCGGAUUGUAAAGCACUUUAAGUUGGGAGGAAGGGCAGUAAGUUAGUACCUUGCUGUUUUGACGUUACCAACAGAAUAAGCACCGGCUAACUUCGUG